rnacentral:lncRNA from 1 species
ACAUGCUGGGGUAGAAGGGGACGGUAGUAAAUGUAUUAGUGGGAGGCUGAAAAAAUCCAUGUAAGAUUAGCCUACUGUACUUUAGUGGGCUAGAAUUUGCAUCCAGCAACAGGCACUUGAGAGGCCCUCCCUAUGCUGGUUGAACCACAUGUCGUUUGCCAUGUAAGACAACAGUCUUGAUUUAUGUUUUCUCCCUUUGUUUGUCUUUUAUUUGCCCCAUUCCUUGAAAUAAUUGGCAAUAAUUUCUCCCCCCAAUAAUCCAAUUGUUACUUGUGCCAAAAACUACUGCAUUUGCAGACUAUGUUCCCUAUUCAUAAAAGGCAUAAUGGUCUUGUAAUCCAAAAAUAUGCCCAAUGGAUGAAAAUCCGAAAGGUCUUGCCAUUUGCCCGUUCCCACUCUCCUUGAGUUGUAACUUCUGUUCCACGUAAACAGGGUGGUAUUUAGUGUCUCAUUAGGUGAAUGAAGCUUUGUUCCAUUCUUAAUCAAGGAAGAUUAAGGACUUCUCUCUGAUAGCCUUAAAUGGGAUUUAAGGUUUUCCUUUUUGGUGGGAAAUAUUAUUUUGACUCUACUUCUACAUCAACCUUCUCCCCAGUUCAGUGCAACUGGGAACUAAUGGUUGAUUUUGGUUUCUGCAGGUCUUUACAUUUAUAAGUUAUGUCUGUCAACCAUCCAAAAUCCCCUUCUUCCACUUCCAUUCACUUGGUCUUAGUGGUUACAGUUUGAUCAAAACUGAAGGAAAUUACAGGCGACAAAAGAAAGGAAAAAAGAUCCUCUCAAUGUUGCUCUCUUCCUUUUUGCUGCUUUCUUUUGUUGUUGCAAAUUGUUGGCAGUACCAGAACCAAUUAUUUUGGUCCCACCCACCAGACAAAAAAUAUGAACAUUCCUAUAAACUUUUUCUUUCCUAAAUGACAAAACCACCCAUUUUCCCUUUCUUUCUUUCUUUCUUUUUUUCUUUUUUUCUUUUUUUCCUGAAGCAACUGCCUUUCUGCAAGUUGCAUUGGAAAGCACUUUAGCCACUUUAUUCUAAUUUUCAUCCACUCCUUAAGUAAACUAACACCACAUGAUUAGUCUCAUGCCCUACACUUUUGCUCCUGCUUGUUUUCUUCUCUAUUUGUUCAACAAUAUUCUGAUUCUCUGAUUCCAGAUGCUUUCAAUAAACCAUCCAUCAAUAAUUCUUGUAAGUUGUGAAUGAAACUCCGCUACACACCAGUCAGUAAGAAAGAAAAUUCUAAAAAGAUAAAGGAGCUGGUUUUUAUUUCUCUGUUGGGCCCACAUGGAUCCAAGAAUAAUUCUGGGGGCGCUUUUAAUACACAUCACAGAAAGCAAGACAAGUGGACAGAAAGUGCAAGACGUUUUAUAAUUCAUCAUGAUCGGCUAACACACACAAAAAGGCAAGGAAUCUACCAUGACUCCAAAUACUAUGGUCUUGCAAGCCUGCAACUACACUUGCAUCUGACUGGUGAACAAGUAGCUGUGGGGAAAUUUCAAUACCAAGGCCAAUAAUGUGAGCUUGGAUAUCCGUUGAUUUGAAUUGGUAAUGAGAUCCUUUUGCCAUCCACUCUGCUAUCUAUUGGCUGUCCUCUUACCUACAUAAAAAUCACGUACUCAUUCCCCUUGCUCUCUGCUCUCUGACAAACAUCCAUUAUUGACCUGCAAAUGUGGGUGGCUAUGGAGAAUGACGAGAGGUCGCUUUUGUUCAUCUUGGUAGUAGUCUCCUAGAUGGCUUUAGCUAUUCCGGAAAACAUCUCUAUUCAAGAGUUGUGCUGACAAGAUAGGUUCAUGUUUUCCACUAUGCAUAUUGGUUUUUGGAAGCUUAUUGGAUUCAUAAUAAUUCUUGCUGAAGCUUCAAUUAUUAAAAAUAAAUAAAAAGGUCGCAUGGCUGGUACAACCAUUAGCUACCGACAACGGGUGGUACCAAGCACAUUCUUGAAGGUCUUGUGACACCGGGAGCACCACAUUUCCUUAAUAAUACAUUCUAGUUUCCCAAUAAGAAAAAGCAUCUCAUGAAGUUCUGAUAUUUUCUCUCAGUAUAUACAAGAGAGGAAAAAAAAACGGAAAUUAAAAGGGAAAAAGUUCAGCCCUAGUUAAAUAUAUCUGCUUGGUUUGUUUUCCUGAUUCUCUCCUCUUUUCUCAACUACUUUCUCUUGUGUUCUUGAGUGAUUGAUCGUAGUGGGUUGAUGGUGCAAAAACAUCAUGUGGCAUGGUAAAAGUCAGCCAAACUCCAGGUUGAACGACUAAGAAACCCGCCUUUCUGCUUUAUGUUUUGUUUCUGAGCGUUGAUUCACUCGUGGCUCUAAUGAAAUUCUGAAGAAAAAUACAAUCUACCACUCCUGCGAGUAGGGUUGGCAGUCAUCACAUCAUUAUGGAUGCCCAUUCCUCAUCGACUUAUUUGAACAAGUCCUACCUUUUCUUGGGCUGAGCUGAACUAGGCCCACAUCCAACUUUUAGGGGUGCCUCCAACACUACAACUCGCUUCACCUGUCCAAGUAGGUUAAUAUUGAUAGUGUUCUAAAAAUCCAGAUUCUUUUAGGUCAAAGGAUUAUAUCUUAUCUGUCCCUAAGAUUAUCCUGUAUCAUAAACUGACAUCAACCUGAAGGACAGUCAAGGCAAGAUGGAGGCUAAGUUAAUGGUUAACAGUUCGAUCUUCUGUUUGGCCAAGGUGAAUCGCACAGGGAAACGUCAGGUUUUUCAUUUUUGUACUACUUCAAAACAAAUGCUUUUCCAAAUAAUAUUGUACAUAAAUGUUUCCCAUCACAAAGUAUUACACAAAGAUAGCCAAAUAUGUCAAAAGGAGAAACAGCAAAAAUAUUCUACAUCAGAUAUUAAUUUCACCAUUGACUGCCUUUGGGCAAGGAAGUUGCCAGUAGUCCAAGAAGUUGCAUAGUUUUUGUGGGGUUCGGCCUGCCUAUAUUUUGAUUCACGGAUCUUUAGGCCGGGCCUAGGCUGUAACUUUCAUAGCCCAGCUUUUGGCGUUUAGAUAUUUAUAGAUAGGCCGGUGCUAUAAUUUGUGGCCCACUUCAAUACCCACCACCCUAUUGCAUGUAUCAGGUCAUUGGGCUUUCCCAUUUUAAGAACCAAUGCCCUAUCCGGCUAUCCCCCAACAUCUGAUAACCGAUAUAUCAAUAAUAAUUGAGGUUUAACGACUUAAUUUGCACAUAACAAUAACAAAAGAACAGAAGAGGGGUGAUGUUGACUUGUAUCUUCUUUUCACUAAUUUUGCUAUAUAAUUUAUUUCUGUUGCCACCCUUCCCGAGGCCCCAUUGUUGAGGACUUUUCUGGGACAGUAGGAAAGCUUUUGAUGUUUUUCUUGGGCAGUUAGCAUCUCUCUCCGAUUCCAUACGUACCUUUUACUGUGUCCCAAUCAACGUCUAAAUAAUUUAAAGGUGGCCUUUUUCUCAAACAAUUCCUGUACAAUGAGGAUAUGGUUGAGCUUAAAAAAAAAGGGCAUUGCGACACUGAUCCAUCUUCAGCUUAAAUGAGAUACUGACAUGACGAUAGCAAAUUGUUAAUUGUUAUUGUUAUGCCACGCUUCUUGGGAAAAUGAAAUGAAAAAGAACGGGCGAUAAGGCCGUAAGGGUGGACAAUGUUUUACAUAAUAUAAUGCAACAAUCAUAGAUGAAUCUAGCAGCAAUUUUGGUAAUAGAAAUUAAGUUAUUUUUUUCAUUCCACUUCACCCAUCAAUAUAAUACUAAGAAACAUAAGAUGUUUUAAUUAUAGAAGAGUUACAUCAUGAAAGCUUAGAGUAAUUAAUCCUAGACUUUGGAUAAUCAAUUGAAAGAGUCAUUGGGGCCUUUUUUUUUUUCUCCUAUGACCUCUGAGUCAUUUUAUAAUAGUAUGACUAGUCGAAUGAGGAUUAAUACAUGUAUUAUAUAUCGUUAUCAAUAAGUACUUGGGUAAGGAUAGGGGAGUUUUUUUUAGCAUGUGAUGCAUAAUAUCUCUAGAUGCAUGUAUGUUCCGAAUGACAAACAUCAUUUUCGACGAUUUUUUUUUUUUUGAAGAAAAAAAAAUCCAUUAACUAUGUAAUGCCAAUCAGUAAUGACAGAGCUCAAACCCUUUUCUGCUUGUUAACUUGCAUUUCCACAGAGCAGGAGCAUUGGAUCCUCUCGUAGUUGUGAAACAUAAAAACAUCCAUGUAGGCUCUAUGUUUCUCCUGAAGAGAGAAGAGACAGAGGAAGGUGGAAGAAAAAAAAACAAAAAGCAAAGAAACAAACCCGCUCUUCAGGGAUCUAAUUUGUUAUUGACUGGUGGCAAAUUAAGUUCAGAAAAUUUAGUAAGUAAAUCUUAUUUUGCUAAGGUUCAUCCGGAACUGGAUUUAACUAGCAAAGUUGUUGUGUGGACAGGUUCAGCAGUCAGAGGACCCAGGAGCGCACUGAAUUUGACCAGAGUGAAUAAAUUGUCUGACAUUUGGACUUAAUUUAACGUAUACAAUAUCUAAAAUGGAUUUAAAUUUAAUGCGGAAAGAGAGUUGGGGAUAAGAGCCUAUCCAAAUGAAGUGGCACAGCGGAACAAGUUGUCCCGAGCCAACUAAAUCAGAAAGCGGACACGAUUGAACAUGGAUGGGGAGUUAUAGUGUUAAUUACCCCUUGUCUCGUCCACACCCGAGGGACAAAACCCUAAGACCCACAUCUUGAACGGUUGAACCCACCAAUAAUGGCCAAGAAAAUUGGGACAAACGGCCAGAGUCUCAUUGAAGGGGAGGAUGGGGCAGGGAAUUGAAAUUGUUUGUUUCUUUGUAUAAGGUAGUAGGAACCUCAAAACCCUGAUAGCCAUGCUGCUGUCCCUGCCUGAUUUUUAAGGUCUCUUUUUGCCAAGAAUCGGUGGCGCAUACAUGGUUGGAGACGUGGCCAGCUUCAAAACCAGAUGGGAAUUCUACAGGGUUGCCCCAGCUUGUCUGCCACCCAACCGCUAGAGAAACUCAAUCCACCUAAUGUGUGUAGUUCACGUGAUUGGUGCUUGGUUUGGGGUGCAUGGCCAUCACAAAGGAUAUUUUUUUGCCCCAGUUGCCUCACUGCAUCUCCAUUCAAAUUUCAAGUCAUUGAACCCGCCAAACAUAUGUGUGCACACAAGGGGGCGUUGUGUUGCUGUCAACCUUUCACUCGCUUCCAAAUGGCAACUUGUUGAGUUGUUUGCCUACUUUCAAUUAACUUCCCCCAAGUCAUUGAACCUACCUUCACAAUUAUAAUUAAGAGAGAGAGAGAAUGGGAGCAUGACCAACGACACUCUCCAAAUCUAGUGCAUGCCUACCAUCCCUAUCCCCUCUCUUCCCUCUUCAACUUGAUUUCUUCUACCUUUAUUUUCCUACUGCGCCAAUCAUCAUCAUCAUCAUCCCAUCCAAAUACUCCUCCUCACUACUAUCUGUACAUUUUUUUUUUUCCAAACUUGGAUCGUCAACAAUUCCGGUUUUCCUAGUACAUGAUAAUAUUGGAAUCAUCAAUUGCCACGAGACGGCGAGCAUGGUUUCACCUAAUUCCCACUUCUGCACAUGCAUUUCGUUAUAAUAUAUUUAUUUAAUUGGGUUCUCCCAAUUUUAACUUACAUCCCCCACUCACAAAAGCCCAGAGACAGAGUCAUGACCGCCCAUGAGUUGUUUAAUUUUUUCUCCUCGUUGUAUAUACCCAUUUUAAAUGCGUAGAUAAGUUAACUAUGGUACGCAUCUCUAUAAUUCUAUAUAUAAAAUUAUGUUCUUUUGGCAUGGUAGGUCCUCUUGGCUUCUCUUUCCAAAUUUGAUUAUAUUACUACAUUCUUCUUUCUAGAACGCCUCGCUGGUAUUAAAGCACAAUUUCCAAUCUAUUGAUCUAAUCAUCAUGUGGAAUAUUGGAUAAAGUGAUGUAUUAGAGUAAUAGAGGGCAGGACUACAAUUGAAUUCGUCUACAUGGCUCAUGUGGCAUCAUUCCUUAGGUAUCCCUCUCGUUGGGCUGGCAGUUAGGUAUUAAACCAACGGACAUACGAAUUAUUCCCCCAAAAAUAAUAACGAACCUACGAGGCGACAAAUCAAUUAAUGCACCCAACAAACAUAAACUUUUAACAAGAAAAGGUCCCCCCCCACCCCCCGUUCUGCCAUCAAACGUUAAUCAUUUUCAAGCCUUGGGAAUAUAGUUGCAUACAUGCAUCACGAACAUUGAUCAUUAAUAUUAAUACAAUCAUUAAGGUUGUGAUUAGCCCAGCCUCAAAGCCCCACACAAGGAUUAGAGGCGGGAAGUUAGCGCCACGUCACGAGCCACGCCAAAACAUAAAAACAUUUUAUUGUGAAUGGCAAUUGAAUUUCUUUUGCUGACAUUGUCGUCUGUCUCCCCUUCCCCAGGCCAACGUGAAGAGGAUGGAUAAUGGAAGAUCUCCAUAUCUCCCUCGCUUUCACUCCCAUAUAUUGUCUAUCCAAUUUGAUGAGAGGCCAUGAAACCAUUGUGUUUGGACAAUCUCCUUUUUCUCUUUAGUCAAUUUUAUUACUUGUUUUUUCAAUUAAGGGACCUGAUUACCGAAUUGUUGGCCCACACUCAAAUGGGUCCCAAAUGUAGGAGUUGCAGUUAAAAACUUAUAUCCAUUAUCCACCUUUGAAAAUUCAGCUACAAGGACUUGUCUCUUAUCCUUUUACCCUUUUCUCCUUAAUGAAAAAUCAACAGAAUUUUUUUAAAAAAUAGUGCUAAUCAGUCAUACUCUUCAUACAUCAACUUGGAUUAGUGCCUAAUAAGAACAAAGUUAUGAUUAAUUUACUCAUAGUAUACAGCCCUUCCAAAAACUAACAUGCAUGCUGCUAUUUAAUUCAAGACACUUUCACCCACUUAAGAAAAUGCCCGAGACUGAAAGGCUUUCCUCAAGCAACAACAUUUUAUACCAUAAUUUUCUAGCUAGGAUAUUGAAAGUUUUUCAAAUCAAAUAGGAACCCAGAUGGCUUUAUGAAACUAGCUAAGCCAGAGCAGAAGCUAUACUUGUUCUAAGCUUAUGUAAUCAUUAUAUAAACACGCUCGAUUGCUCAUCCAUGUAUUAGUCUAAGACUAAGGUACUAUAAAAAAUCUAAAUCGAAUUAAGAGGAAAAAAAAAACAACAAAAGAAUUAAAAACUCGAAAUAUAGAAAAGGGUAAUGGAAGUUAGGCUUGGAAGCUCCAAAAUACAUUAGGUGAGCUCAGAAGAAGGGAAGAAUGGGAUGUAUAGUGAGUAGAUAGGGUGGUGGACAAAAAAUACAUUAAAUAAUAAUCGGGGGUGAGUGAAAUGAAUGGUGAGGGCGAGGUGAUGUGUCAAAAACGGUGGUCAACGGGUAAGCAUUCCUGAGAUGCAUGAACUUGGACACAGUUUUGACACGAGUCCAAAAAGCAGGCCUCUUCAGUCUUUGUUUUUAGUCUGGUUCUGAUUUUUCCAUACGGCCUCUAACCCCAUACGAGCGUCUUGGUUGGACUGCUUUUAACAAUUGGAAUUCAAGCAUAUAUCAGAUUUCAGAAAAUGACUUGCUUAAUUCUCACCCAAUUGAAUCCCAACAGCUAAGUAAAUAGAGAGAAAAGAAAAGAAAAAAAAAAGGAAAAAGAUCUAACUCGUGUUAUGCCAGAACUGGCCUCUUAACUAUAGCGUGUUCUUUGGUAUUAUGAUGUUUCAAAGCAAUUUUGUUUCUUCUACAAAAGUAUGUAUUGAAUAAUAUUUUUCCAUCGGGAUGAUUUCCCCUUGAGUGGUUGAAUGAUUGCUAUUUUGAUACAUUCUUGACCUACGCACUACAGCGACUGAUGGGGACUUUUUUUUAGUUAAUAUAGGAAAGUGGAUGUAUUUUCGGUUUAGUGUGCAUUUGCUUUUCACUGUCUCAAAGCAUUUUAAAAAAUAUUUCGUCACAAUUAGAGUAUUUUAUAGCAAGGGGUGUUUUGAAGGGCAAAUUGUUUUAUAUACUGUGCAAAAGCAUGUUUUCUGUAUAGAUAUUGAUUUAAAAGACCAGGAACACUGUAAAGUCACACGCACGAGACUUCAGUAACGCCAGCGAUAGUAUCAGAAGGCUUAACAAUGUUAAUUAACUGGUAGCCUAAGACCUCGGAAUAAAUAAUAAAAGUGUAUGCAUUGGAAUUGGUGAAAGAAGAAGAUAUCAGCUGUUCCCAAAAUCUCAGUCAAGACAUUGGCUUGUAUACACGUGAAAGAUCGGUUUUGUUGAGCCCAUCAUUGGAACACUUUUUUGUCACGAGCAAAGCAGGGAGAAGUAGAACUGUUGAAAAUUCACAUUUUCAUGUACUGCUUCCAACUUGUGCCUCGUGCGCCACAUGCUUCCUAGGAGUCCUCGCGGAUCAAACAAGUACAGUAAGUCACGCGGUCACUGCUUUUCCCUUUCCUAAAUUAUUAGUGAAGGAAUCCGUUCUUGAUCAGAGGGAUCAAGCCAUCCGCAUACUACUAAUAAUAUAUCAUGAGUAGGAAGACUAGAGAUACUCGAUUUUGUCCUGUGUUGAUUGUUGGGGGGAUAGAUCACCUUAUAAGCGGUGACAUGUACCAAACGAACCCACGUACCAUCCAUGUAAUACUGACUAAAUCUUAAUCAUCAAUUGGAACUCUCAUAUUUUGAACGUCCCUUUGGUCAGGUGUGGUCUAAAGAAGAAAACAAAAUCAAUCUGUGGGUGGGUAAAUUAUCAUUGUAUAUGCAUGGUCGAGGGACAAGGUCAUGAAAGAAUCAUCAUUGAAAAAUCUUGCUCCUACGAUUAUUGAAAGAAAAAUGAUUAGAUGAUGGGUGAAUUUUAGAGGGUAUAUAAAUGUGGAAUUAUAGGAUAAGGAAGAUUCCUCUUUCAAUUUUUGCUUUUCCAACACCCAAAAAAAAGAAGAAGAAGAAGAGAGAGAGGUGUCGCAAUUGAAAUCCAUGGGUGCAAUGCCAAUGAUAAUCACGUUGUAUCCACGCGGAUUCAACUGUAGAGUGUGAAUAAAUUGCCACAUUUUUUACACGUUGAAAAUGAUUCAGUGGGUCAAAGGAAUGGGGCGGAAGGCGCAGCCGUCGAAAAUGCUAAAAUGUCAGCAUUGAAAAGGUUAAAACCGAAGACAUGGAUUUUCUCGAGAAAAUGUAGAGCUUUAGAGGAGCAAUUUUUUUUGAGUGGGCUCUUUUAAAAGCUUCACGAAAAUGGAUAUGUUAUAGAAAUUAGAAAGGGUAGUAGGUGGCACAAUUAUUUUAUUGUUGGAUCAAUUAUGCCACAUUAUGAAUGAUGCUGAGAAAUGAUUAUAUGGCUAAAGUCUCGGGACAAAAUCACUGCUCCAUUGUCAGCAUUUGCACGAGUUUUCCUAUAUUCUUAUAAUUGGGACAUGCUUUUCUUAUCUUUACACAUUGCCUUAGUGCCCUAAACCCUGUCCCAUAUCACCUACAACUUUACUCCCUCUCUACUUAUCUCAUUUUUAAAAUGAUUUUUGAAUCAUUUCUAUAUGGGUGUGUUUACGGAUACUUCAAGGGUGUGUGAUCCACUAAGAUUUUUAAUAUUAUUAAAUAUUAUUGUGGCACAACUAUUCCUUGUGCUUUCGGAUGAGUUAUGAACUGAAAAACUUUGGAAGUUUUUGCCUUUUUGGUAUUAAUUUAUUCUAAACAUCUCUACUGCAUAUUAAUGGGGAUAUCAAGCCAUGGAGAAAAUGGUAUGUAUUGACGGGUGGUCAAGAAUGAAAACUCCUUGUAUUAACGUUCAUUUCCUUUUUAAUCUAAUUUUUCUCCAUAUGCAACAACUUGAAAUCUUUUUUUUAAGCUAUGUAAUUAAAAGUAUUUUUGAUAAUGAUUUUUUAAAAAUAUUUAUAGUUUUUUUAAUACUGAAAAUAAUUUUUUUUUUACUUAUAAUUGUUUUAAAAGAUAGUUAUAUAAAAAUAUGAAAAAUGAUUAAAAUUGCUAGUAAAUAUAAAACUUAUUUUUAAAAAUAUUUUAAUUUUUUUUUUACUAAUUUCAGUUUUAUAAAAUAUGCCUGAAUAGUUUUUUAAAAUUUGUAUUUUUUAGAACUGUUUUUAAAAAGACUCACAGAACGGAAUGAGAAUCCCUAAUAUCAGAUCUAGGCACAUGGGUUGCGAAAUCAAAGGAAGGGAAUCGAGUUGGGACUUGAGUGGUCCGAACUCCGAAGAUUAUGAAUUUCAUGGUUUUCUCUAGGCUUUUUGUACCCAACAGAAACACUGGUCACCGGGGGACUUGUCCUGCACAGUACUCCAGAGUUGACCAGUUAAAUUUAUAAACUAUAAAGAGAACUUGAUGUAAUAAUCGUAUUUGUGUGAACUCCACGUGUCGUUGUGUCGUCAGCCUCUACAGCCUCUCUUUUUUAAAAAUUAAAAAAAUUAAAAUUAAAAAUUUCCCAUAGAUUAAGUGAUUAACCCCUCUCUCUCACUGUUGUACUUGUGUCUAUGGUUGAUGGACAGACAAUAAAGUAAUGGAAACAGAACCACGAAACUACGACUUAAGUGCAUGAAUCCAACACCACACCCUCCCCUAUAUAAACCCCCUCCCUCCCUCUCUGGUCUCUCACUCCCACGGAGUACAACUCAUUCCUGUAUUAUAAUUCACUUCCUUCCUUCCUUCCUUCCUUCCUCCCUCCCUCCAGAGGAAAGAGAAAGAAAGAAAGAAAGAAAGAAAAAUGCCUUCUUCUUCUGUUACUCUGGUGUCUAAAUGCACGGUUUAUCCGGAACACAAGUCCACAAUCAAGAGCCUGAAGCUCUCAGUUUCUGAUCUUCCCAUGCUAUCAUGCCAAUACAUCCAGAAGGGUGUGUUGCAUACUCGCCCUCCUCUUCCCAUUGACUCCCUCAUCUCUCUCCUCAAACAAUCUCUCUCCACCGCUCUCACUCAUUUCCCACCCCUCGCUGGUCGUUUCGAAACAGAUGCCGACGGCCACGUCCACAUCAUCUGUAACGACGCUGGCGUCGAAUUCAUUCAUGCCAAAGCUAAGCACUUCCUUAUUCGUGACCUCCUCUCCCCCGUCGACGUCCACAAUUGCUUCAAACAGUUCUUCGCCUUCGAUGGCCUUCUCAGUUAUGCCGGCCACUUCAAGCCUUUGGCCGCUGUUCAGAUCACGGAACUCGCAGACGGACUUUUCAUCGGUUGCACCGUCAACCACUCCGUCACCGACGGCACCUCCUUCUGGCACUUCUUCAAUACCUUCGCUGAGAUGACUAAAGGAGCAAAGAAGAUCAGCAGGUCACCAGAUUUUAACCGGGACAACGUGUUCAAUUCGCCGGUGGUGCUCAGAGUCCCAGAGGGCGGCCCAAGGCUAACGUUUUCUGGAGACGAGCCGUUGCGUGAGAGAAUCUUUCGGUUCCAUAGAGAAGCGAUUUUAAAGCUUAAAUACAGAGCCAACAACCAGAUACAAAAAUCCACAAAUGGACAAGUUUUGGAUAUGGGCGAAAUAUUGGGAAAGAGGUCUAACGAUAGUUGGAAGACCAUUAACGGAGAAAAUGGUAUGGACAACGGCAAGAAAACGUCUGUGCUGGGGAAGCUGUUGAAGAACAAUGUGUCGAAACCUCUCGAUUCCGAAACCGGAAUUCCCAAUUCAACUGCAGAGAUUUCAUCGUUCCAGUCACUCUCUGCUCAACUGUGGCGUUCAGUGACACGUGCUAGAAAACUGCCCUCGUCCAGGACCACGACGUUCCGAAUGGCAGUUAAUUGUCGUCACCGGCUGGAGCCGAAAUUGGAGGCACACUACUUCGGGAACGCGAUCCAGAGCAUCCCAACGGUAGCAUCGGUGGGGGAACUUCUGUCUCGAGAUCUGCGGUGGUGUGCGGAUCUGCUGCAUAAGAACGUAGUGGCACACGAUGAUGCUACGGUGCAGCGGGGAGUAAGGGACUGGGAGAGCAACCCUCGUUGCUUUCCACUGGGGAACUUCGACGGAGCAAUGAUCACAAUGGGGAGCUCUCCCAGAUUCCCCAUGUACGACAACGAUUUCGGGUGGGGAAGACCCCUGGCUGUUAGGAGCGGCAAGGCCAACAAAUUUGACGGGAAGAUAUCGGCCUUUCCAGGGAGAGAUGGGGCGGGAACGGUUGAUCUGGAGGUGUGUUUGGCACCGGAAACAAUGGCGGGUCUUGAGUCGGACCCUGAGUUCAUGCAAUACGUAUCGGGAAUGGUGUGAUGGAUUUGGAUGAAUGGAUGGAACUUGGAACUUGGAACUAUGAACUUGGCACUUGAAACAUGAAAGUAGGGAGUGGGGGAGGCCAAAAGUUGUCAGGCAAUGGUCAAACCUCUCGUGAUUGGCUGCGGUCCGAUGGCUUUGGACGGGUGUGAUUUCACUUUCUAUACAAAGGAUAAGUAAUGUUGCAGCUUAUAGUUUUGUCUAAUUUGCCGUGUACUAAGUACUGGGUGUUGUACCAUUGGCAGUGCAGUUUGUUUCUAUUUCCCACGUGCUCAAACGGUCAAACACACUUUUCCUCUCUAAUUUCCCUCUCCUUUCUUCUUUUUAAUUUUUUUUUUUUUGUUUUUGGCGGGGGCCCUGGAGGGUAGGAGUUCUAUAUCCCAUCAAUGUCAAUGUCUGCCUUUUGGCGUAAAAACCCUGUGAUCGCAACUCGUUUAAUCCAUCCGAGUUAUCGGUUUUCACUUUCAUACCUACCUACCUUUAAUUUGGAUUUAAAAAAUUGAAGCAAUUUGCCAUCAGACCAAUCUCCAUUGCCUUUGUAUGUAAGUGUAUAGUCAGCCAAUCCAGGACCAUACUUCAAAAGCCAUUUAAUUUACUAAUUUGCCAACAUUGCAUAAUUAAGAUGCAAUUUCAACCUUACAAUUAGAAAAGUAAAACACAUCAAUAAUUGAUUAGGUGCCACCCCCUAUUCCGUGGUGGUCAGUCCUCCCUCCUCGGUAUGCAUGUAGGCCAGGCCGUAGGUCAGUGCGAUAGCCAUGGCCAACACCUAAGCACUCUAAAUAUAGGCUCUUCCAGAUUUGCCAAAAGAAAAACCCUGUGCCAAGUCUUUUCUACAUUUGAUUUUGGUAUGAAAACGAAACGCCACCAGGCAGGCUGCUGCUCAUAUCACCUUCUCUCUAGGUACUCUCAAGUCCCACAUGCUCUGUAUAAUUCAAAUUCUUCAACGACAUUGUAGGCAAGGUAGGGUUAGGCUGUUAGCGACUAGGCAGCACUGUUGGUGGCCACCAUAAUAGUAUCAUCUAGUAUACUCUAUACUCUUUAUCCAAAUCUACAAAUUUCAUCACACAAUUGGCAACACCAAUCACAAUUAUUUAUGAAUCAUAGUCAAUACACAUACAAAAAAUGAACAUAUCAAUACAAAACAAUGAUCACACUUGCGUAACAGGAGGCCUUCUUUGAAGCCCCAAACAGGCUUUGCAAGUAUAUACAUUAACAUUACCUGUAGUUAAUUUCUGGUGUUCGGAAGAAAAGUCUUGUCAGCCAUUGUAGAGGUCGUAGCAGCUGGGCUCUCUUUUUCCGCCAGAACCAGAUUGCUGCAUUGUAUUGUUCAUUGCGUAUCUUCCUAGUCGCAGCCCUCCAAUCAUACUUCUCCAUUUCUUCACGUGCAGCUUUCCCAAUGGUUUCUCUCAAUUCAUGGCUGUGCAACAGAGGCUCUAGUUUGCUUAAGCAGUCCUCAAUAUCUCCAGGAUUAUAGAGAAAACCAGUCUUUCCCUCAUCAUCCCUAGGAAUGAUAUCUGGGAUUCCCCCAGCACGAGCUCCCACCACAGGGACCCCUGAUGACAUGGCUUCUAAAACAACCAGACCCAGUGUCUCAGAUUCUGAGGGCAUCACAAAAACAUCCCCGCUGGCGUAUGCCUGAGAGAGCUCCUCACCUUGCAACAUCCCUGUGAACACAGCAGGCAUGCCAGAGAACAUUUUCUCCAGCUCCUCCCUGCCCAGAAAGAAGGCAUGUUUUGUAAAUAAAAACUGCAGGUUUCUUGACCGUACUAUGAAGCUCAUGGUAGAUUUUCAUAAGAGGAAUAACUCGAUGAGAAUUAUACCAAGGUUGUCUCAGAGAUUGGCCUCUUUAACUAAUUUUAGAAAAUAAGUACCUCAUUAAAUGUCAAAAGAACAUACCUAUAAGGGCCAUCUCCAAUGAAAGCUAUCCGUGCUUCUGGAAGUCUAUCCAUCACCCUGUUCAAUUAUGUCUUCCACAUGUCAAAAAUUGCAAUAUACAGAAACAAUUCACACAAGCAUGAUUUUUGCACAUUGCAAAAAAUGCAAAAUAGUUGAAUUAUGAUGAAAAUUUUAUCAUAAUUAGAAAUAAUAAAGAAAAAGAAGGCUAAUGAAUGACACACUUAGACCAGGAAAUCGUUACAAUUUCAGACCAACUUCCAUUGUUGGUGACAAAGAUAGCACAUAAAAUCAAGGACUGGAACUCCAUCAAUUGCUGAAAAAAAUUACUUCCUCGAGAGCUUACUCAGUUUAGUCCAUCUAGUCCAACUAAACUUUCAAAGACCUUGAAAGGCUACAUAGAAUUAAGUUAUUGAAAGAACUGUAUGCACUACAAAGCCAAUGAAAUUAUAUUUCAUACAUUUCAUAGGUGUAAAUCAUGCAUGUCAUAAUUGGUAAUAUGUGUCCUUAAAUUGUAAUGUAUUGAAAUCAUGUUAAUAACAGAUAUUAUUAACAAAGUCUAAUUUUCUUAUAAUAUUAAAAAUAUGUUCACAAAUUAUAACUGUGUCUUGGAAAACAUGCUUGCUAAAAGUUGCCAUGUGUAGCGAUAAUAAAGCAGGGAUUCUUAGUAGACUUCAUGGGUGAUUUUUAGAAGAUAAUUAGUGAACUAAGUAACUAACAACUAUAGAACUUAUCGUCAUGUAAGAAUUGUUUUGAUUAAUAAAAGCCUUGACUUGAGGAUAUCACUAGGUUGUGUUGAUUUAUUAUAGCUUUGAUAUUGCAACCUGUUAAUGCUAAUAGCAGACCAUCUAUGAACUUAUUGGGUUUUAUAACUAGUAGAUAUUCAAUAAAAAAUCCAUUACUCCUAUAGUAGGAGAGAAUAUUCAAAAUUGUGUUACGUGUAUUUUUUGAAUGAAAUUCCCUCUGGUUAAUUUAGAAAUCAUAUCUGUGUGUGUGUGUGUGUGCGCGUGUGUAUGUAAAUAUAUAGAAUGUUUUGCAAAGUAUGUAUAUGUAUUUGUAUAUGUAUGUAUGUAUUGAAAAAGGUUCAAAUAUAAGCGGUGACACAUAUAAGUUUGGGUAAUGACAAUUAUCCUGAUACAAUCCAAAAAACUUGCAAGGAUUAUUAGUUAAUCAAAGGACUAAUAUAUAAAUAGAAAACUCACUUUUAUCUCUUAUUCUUUAGGUGAGAUUGUAAUUUGCUUUUAAACAUAAUUACAAUUGACAAGUUUAAGUGGAAUGAACUUAUUAGAGAUGCAGAGAUCCCACAAAGGUCCCAUGCCAUAUUUUCUCAUCUUAGCUUAUCAUGUAAAAAGAGAGAAAUUUGUUUUGUAAUAUAAAAAACUGCAAGGUUACAAAAGAUGUAAAGUAACAGAAAAUAGAAUGUGAUUACUCAGCAUUUUUGUAACCAAAACUCACAUUUUUGUAACUCAUCAUUAUGGGAAAAAAAAGAUGAAAACCAUGUAGCCACAACUUACCUUUCUGUAACAAGUUAUUUUAAAAUGGGCCUACAGAGAGAUGAAACCAUGGUUUUGUCAUCAGAUUAGAAGAUAUUUGUUUUGAGUUUCUCUACUUCUUUUGUUUCUCUCACACAAAAUUCUGAGCUAAUUUAACAAAAAGCAAGAUGGGUAUGCUUGUGAACUUUUGGAGGUUUUUCCACUUGGCAAAAGCUGACUGAGGUAGUAGAAAUGUUUUAUUUAAAUUUAUGUAUGUACAUCUGGCAAAAUUCUGAGAUAAUUUAACAAAAGCAAGAUGGGUAUCCAUGUGAACUUUUGGAGGGUUUUCCACUUGGUGAAAGUAUGUGAGGACCACUGGGAGAAACACCUUUCUAGUAAUGGACUGUUUUGAUUUUAUCAGCUACCACAUUAGUUAAUUUGCCUAAAGAGAAUAAUAAAAUAAUAUGGGGGGAAAACAAUACAUUCAUUUCCAACAUGUGUAAGAAAAUAAUCUAUACAAUAAAGUAGAUGAAUAUUACCUUUUCAGGAAAUCCAAGCUCUUCUCUACCCCAAGUCUUCCAACAUGGAUUACCAAUGGUUUCUCAGGUUCACCAUUGCUGUUUAGAAAAAAAAAAAAGAAAAAAAAAAAAGGUACAUAGCAUGUAAAGUAGAAUCCCAAGGCAAUGAAAGUUAGAGGGGAUGAGAAAAGGGACCCACCUUAGUCUUAAACGCAUUUCGUGAGAAUAGUAACGAGGAUGGAAACUUUCAGAGUCAACCCCCUUAUUCCAAAGACGAAUUCUGUUAGCUGCAAAGCAAAGAGAUAAAGCAAUUUAGUUUUCAAUAUUGAUCCAUUGACAUCAUUACAAUUUGUUUUUGCAACAGUUGCACAAUGGACAUCCAUGCACAAAGAAAAAUAAAUCCAAAAAACUGCAGGAAGUGAGUUUAUUGCACAUGGUUAGAUUUUAAAGUUUGAUAUCAGUGAAAGAGGUUGGUUAUGGAGAGUGAUAUUUAACUGGGUACAAGAUUAAAAGAUGACCUGCUGUUACCCUAGCAGCUUGGAGAUCCCUUGCAAUGGCUGCUGAUGGCACCAGAGUGAGAUCAGCUGCUCUGUGAAGAAAUUCUAACAAGGAAAACCAAACUAACAAUUAUUAGCUCACCUAUCUGAAAAUUUUAAGCUUCCAUGUUUAAAUUAAGAGGCCAGAAAGAAAAUUUGCAUACUUAUGAUCAACCACAUGGGUUUCACCAACCAACUAAAGGUGUAUCUUGGGAUAUAUCUGCAGAACAAAGCAAGAAUAAGAUUCUGUUCAAGCACUAGUUGGUAUACCUUGUAAUUCUAGCAUCAAAUUGAAAAAUGGUAAACAUUUACAAGUUGAAAAUCAGCAACAAAUAAACAUGUGGAUUCUCCACUCAAUUAAUAUGGGUGCAGAUUAAAGCAUAUAAAUGCUAAGAAUUAUCUCAGGAAGAUGAAAGCAGAAGUAAACUCACACUGGAACAUGGGUGUGAUAAGACAUCACUAUAGGAACACACAAUAGUUUUGCAAUAAAGAGAGCACCAAAGACCUACAAUAAAGUCAGCAAUUGUCAAUCCAUACAUCACAUGCCAAUGAUUAGUUCUUCCUUUGAUUUCCCAAAACAAAAACAAAAUUAUGUUAAAUGAGAAUUGUUAGACAAUCAAUUUUCCUAAAAGUUUAAGCUUGUAGGAUUUGGACCCACAAUGUAAUUCAUUUACUCCAACACCCUCCCACGCCUUUGACCCCAUACCCACAAUAGAGAGACACAUAGGCAUACGCAGGCCCACAGAUAAACAAUCCAUAAAUAACCUCCUUUGGGAUUACGUGUGGGCUUAAUAAACAUGCAGCGGGGUUCGAACAAUGACUUUCUGCAAAACAGGGCUCUAAUACCAUGUUAGACAACCAAUUUUCUUAAAACCUUAGCUUAUAGGAUUUGGGCCCACAAUGUAAAUCAUGUACUCCAAUACCCUCCUUCACAUGCAACCCCAUACCCACACAUAGGAACACCCUCCCUCAUAUGCAAACCCAUGCUCGCAUGUAGAGAGACACAUAGGCACUCACAGGCCUACAAAUAAACAAACCAUAAAUAGUCUCCUUUAGGCUUACAUGUGGGCUUAAUAAAGUGGGAAAAUAAGCGUACAAAAAGAGACCUCUAAUACCAUGUUAAACAACCAAUUUUGCCUAAAAGCUUAGGUUUGUAAGAUUUAGGCCCGUAAUGCAUAUCAUGCACUCCAAAAAGAACAAAAAUAAGCAUGAGUUAGAAAAUUACCAUAAUUCCAGGUGAUGAUGCAUGUAUUAUAUCAGGCUUAAAUCGGGCAACCUCUGAGAUUAUUCUAGGGCUAAGUGCCAAAGAAAGAGGAACCUUUCGAUACCAUGGGCAAGGAAAGCUGCAAAAAAACCAAAAAAAAAUAAAAUCACAAGCCAUGAGAAGAAACCAUGUUUCAAAACCAAGAAAAUUGACCAAAAAGGGUACAAGAUCUUGCAUAACAUGUUUUAACCAUCUUGUUCAACAGAACAUGUGAACAAGAAGUUGAAAUUUUGAAAGAGUGCAAAGUAGAAAUUUUAAUAAUUAAUAUGAUGUAACAAAAUAAGAGAUACCAUGAACAAAGUAUGUUCACAUAAUAUAUAUUUGUAAAUAACUUAUUUUACAACCUUCUUGCUCCAGAUCCAGGAGCCAAAGGGGUGGGGGUGGUGGGUUCAAAACCUAGAAACCAAACAGAUUGACAUUUCAAGUGGUUCAACAAACAAUUCAGGUUUGAAAAUGCUAGGGGAAAAAAAAAAUGGGAUGGUAGAAAGUACUAAAAAAACCAUGUUGCAAAAAGAAAUCGUUCAACUUGGAAAAGUUCAAAAGACUAUUAAUGUAAACACCAUAGGAUAACACAAUAAACCAUAAAUGAUGAAAAAUGUUAUUGAACAAAUCAUCAGAAAUUAGGGUAACAAGAAGUUGAACAAAUCACUUUAAAUUUAGAUAACUGAAUUUGAAAUUUAGAUAACUGUAGCAACCUCCGUGACCCAAUCAGUUUUGCUCCAUAAAACUCCUGUGGCACCCCUUCAUGCGUUGUUACAACCAUUACCUACAACAAAGUAAUUAAAUUAGUUUGUCAAUUCAUCAUGCAAAAACAUUUGAAGAUAUUAUAGCCAAGUUGUUGUCAAUUCAUUAACUUUCAAAUUAGUGCUUGAUAUUUGGGGUGACAAUUAAAACAUUUAUUAACAAGAUCAUGGCUUCCUCCUGAAACUUUUUUAUUUUAGCCACUGUUAAAGCUAAAUUAAUAGCAGAUUAUCUACACCAUGGAGUGAGUUCAAGUUCAACCAAGCUUUGAUCAGGCCAAUUUUGUAGCUUGGUUCAUUGUCACAAGCACCAAGUUAUUAAUUUGACUUAAAAAAAAAGCUGAUAAAACGAAGUGAUGAAGAUAGUUAAGUACAUCGUGUAUCAGCUCAAGAUAGUUAAGUUACACUAGCUCGCAACGAGGUUCAGUUUAAUAUGAUGCAGAUUAAAAUUAAAAGGUUCAGCUCUUAGACAAUCAUGGUCAAUAACGUAUUGAACCACAGAUAAAGGAAAAUUUACCUCAUCCCCCAUUUCACGUAGAUAUCUUAUGAAAUUCUGGAACCGAUUCUUAUAUCCAGACACAUAUCUGCAAAAUCAACAGAAUAUGGUGCUCAGUAAAUACCCACUUGUUUCUUCUAAAUAGCAGGCUAAGUAACAAAAUAAAAGAUAGAAUCAGGAUUUCAUCUUCAAAAGGAACCUACCAUGUGUUACUGCAUGUUUAAGUUUUAAUUACUAAUACAAGUGAUGAACUGUACAAGGAUGAGAUCUAUGUUAUCCUGCUGGUAUGUUUCUUUGUCAAAACCGUAGUGUAAACAAAUCACACAAACACACCAAAAAGACAUCUAAAAUUAUUAGCAAUAGCCUGCUCACAAUUUUAACAGGAUAUUUGUCUCCAAACUCCUUAUCCGAAUCCGAACUCUUCUGAUUCUCAGGAGGCAAAUUAAGUUAUAGCUUCUAUGCCAGCACAGUUUUAAAUGUGUGAUGUGCGUAUAUGCAAUCGACUAUUUAUGUUUAAAGCAUAGAAGCCACUUAAAGUAUCCAUCUGUAGGAGUCCACGUAGACACCAGCCAAUUAAAAUUACCCACUAAAAUUGCAAUUAAAAUCGUUAAGUUAGGAUGUGAGUUAUAGGACACCACACAUGGAAAAAACAAGCAUUCAUAAAAAUGAAAGGAGAUCAAUAUCAAAAGCAGAUAAAUUAUAAAUCUACAUACUUACCAUAACAGAGCUAGAAUGUCCAUGAGACUAAAGAUACAAACCAAACAUUAGCACUCAUUAUUAUUCACCCAAAUAACCUUAAUUAUAGCCAAAUAUGAAAAUAAGUAUAUAAAUCCCAUUUAUAACCAACCAUGCUAUAACCAACAAACUCUCAACACAGCGAAAUCACUAAGCCGAUUACAUACAAAACAAUAAGCCCAAUCAAACAACACAUAAAACAAUACGCUCAAAUAAGCUGAAUCCACCAAGGUAAUGCCAAUAUUGAAGAACUCAAAAACGUUAAAUCUCCAAAUAUAUGAUGCUGGCAUGGCAAAUUAAUCUAUUAGUUAAAUGACAAAACCCGACAAAAAUAGAGCUAGGCUACACAAAACCACCAAAGUCACAUAAAGACUCACGACUCACGGCACCAGAGUUUUAGCUAACAACCCAACCUAAAUUAUGCUAGAAUUAACAACACUGUCAAAUACAAACGGUUACAACCCCUACAAUUCACCACUAACGCUUCAUAGUUAAACCUCAUCCUCUCAAAGUCAAUUUAUCAAAUAUAGUGAAGACAUAACUAGCCCAGAGAUUAAAGGCAACCAAUCCCAAAACCGGAGAGUCACUUGAAAAUGAAGAAAAAAUUGCAUCAAAUUAACAAAUACAUUACACAACAAGAAGAAAAACAAAGACAGCAUCCAAGAAAAGGGGGUUGUUGUAAUUGGAAAUAUACCAGAGCUUACGAAAGUAAAAACAAAUGAAGAAGUCAAAUAAUAGUAAUAAAGAAAGGACUCACGCAAAUGGAGAAGGCUCGACGAAGAGAGCGAUACGGCGAGGCCUGGAAGUUGCCUCCGACUCGAGCGAAGGAGGAGGACUCUCCUCCUCUUCGUCUUCUUCCCCCAUUUCUGUAAUGGUCAUGUCUCCUUUUGCAGCCAAAGUCCUCCUCCUAAGCCUUGAUGCUCCCUCAGAUGGAGAAAAGCGAGCUUGUCGGCAAACGAGGGUAAUGGGCUUUGCUGUAGAAGGAUAAAGACUGAGUAGUCUCGGAGAAACAGAGGUAUAUGAAGAAGAAGAAGUAGAAAAAGAGGAGGAGGAGAAGGAGGAGGGAGAAGAGGGAGUCGUGGUGAUGAUAGAAAAGGAGGGAGGAUUUAUAGAGAGAGAAGUGGACAUGACUGUUAAAUAGAGUUGAGAGAUUGGAGAGAAUGGAUUAGAUUAAUAGGAGUGAUAUGCGAUGGAGUGCAAGGGAUAGAAGGAAUCAAAAAUGGGAUUGAAGGGACCUAUUGGAGUGGAUAUACCCCAUUGAGUGAACAGGCUGUGGUGGAAUCCAUGGAAGCAUUUAUGGGUAUAUGCCCUCUGGUCCCGUCCUCUACCCCUUUGGAGCCUCUUCUUUUCUUGCACGCUGCCUUCUGCUUUAUCUUAUUUUUGCCUUCAGUUUCCCCUUGCCAUCGUUCCCAUCCAUCGACACACGCCCUUUCUAUGCCUUCGUUGUUUCACAGAAACGUGUUUGAUUAAAAUGAGAUUGAUACAAAUUAGCUUUUAAAAUUAAGUCAAAAUAAAUAAUUUUCUUUUAAUUUGAAAUAUCUUUUUUAAAGACAUAUAAGGUGGUGUUUGCUUUUUUACUUAAUUCUAAAUAGAACCUUAAUACUUAAUAGUAUUAAAUAUUAGGUUGUUUGUUUUUGUAGUAUUUUAUUUCUAUUAAGUAUUAAAAAGUAAAAAAAACCAUUGUGUUAUUUUUUCUAUUUAAAAAAAGCCAUAUAUUUUGGCUUUUUCUAUUUAGUAAAAAGUUUAUAAUAAGUCAUGAAAAAGUAAAAAAACAAACAACCUAAAUUCUAAAAUUAAAUGGUUUUCAGCAAAAAGCCAAAAAAACAAACACUACCUAUUCUAAGUGUUUUUUCAAGUUUCUAAUAUUUUUUAAAAUAAAAGUUUGUUCCCAAGUAUUGUUAAUUUGAUUUAAAUAUAUUUAAAAACAUUUUGGCUUUGUUUGGAAAAUAUUUUUAAAAACACAACAUUUGAAAACUAUUUUUUAAUAUUUUGUAAAAUAAAUGUUUAUUUAAGAUUCUAAAAUAUUUUUGAUUUAUUUUCUAUAUUUUAUAAAUAAAUUAUAUAUAUAGUGUUUCAUUUUAAUCAUUUUUUCAUAUUUAUAAAUUUAUUUUUAGAAAACAAGUUAAAAUAAAUGGUAAAAUGUGCUUUCUUAUUUUUUAUUCAAAAAAAUAGAAAAUUGUUUUUAAAAUAGUUAUUAAACAAGGUCGAUAAUUUUUUUAUAAGAAAAAAAAUAUUUUAUAUUUUCUAAUUAUCAAACAUAUUUUUUUAUUUUUUAUUUUGAAAAAUGGAACUAGUGAUAUUUUACUUAAAAAUAUUAUUUAAACAAUAAAAAUUAUUAUUAUUAUAUUUUUAAGAUUUUUAAAAUACUUUCAAUUUUAAUAAAAACAAAAUAUAUAUUAUUUAGUAUCAUAUUCCCUUUACUAAUGAAGAGAAAAGAGACUAAUGAUGAUAGCAUACAACACUUUUCACAUGUCUAAAAUAUUUUUGGAAAUUUUGAUGAAUAUGAGUCAUAUGACACAGAUAUUUGAGAUAUUUAGAAGUAAGGAGAACCAUAAGAUAUUCCAUUGAAUAUUCUUGUUCAUUUUUGUCUGUCAUUUACGUAUGAUUGCCAUAUUGAAAUAUACAUAAUCUCAAGUAACCAUGCUUUAUCGGUGCCUUUGUGCUUUAAGAUACCAUCACAUAUGGUUGAUCAUGACUCAUGCCAUGCAGGUUAAGCCUCCUGAGCAAAAUGGACCCAUCGGAAUUAAAGAGUUCUGAGCAAGCUUCACUUGGGCCUGGGCCAUAAAAACUCAUGGUUUGCUCUCUGGACCUGUUUCCUAGCCCAUUUUUAAGGUCCCAUUUGGACAGGAAUAUUGGGCCUAUAAGUGCAACGGGACAUCGAUUUGGGUCCAAACUAGGACUUUAUGGGCUGACGCACAUGGAAGCAACAAGUGGUAGUUAAGGCCAUAAAUAAAGGAUUGCACCUAUGUCGGGAGAAAUUGGUACAAGAAGCCAUGGGUGCACUUCUCGAUGAUGCAAUUCGACACUGCAACUGACAUGCUAGGAAUGGUCUUCGUUCAGUUUAUUUAUGAAGUCUUUUUCAGUUAAAAAUUCAAGCCCAAUCACAAAAAGAGAACAUGGAGUCGGAUAAGAAAAGGUAGGAUCCCAAAUCUGAAACAAUGUUUGCUUCAAGAGCCAGAAGUGUAGCGGUUGAUCCUGCAGCAGUAUCUAAAAACAUGGAUUGCGAUGGGAUUGCAUCAUGAUGACCAACACAUGAUCUAAUAAACUAUUUUUAUCACUACUCGAUAUGUAGUUCAUCUUUCGAGUGUUAGUGGUGAACUUUCCGGCACUAAUGAAUGCAGAAAUUCUACUACUUUUAUGUUCGAAGCUAGGGUCUUGAGCCACGGCCCUUUUUUACUUGGUUGGAUUAGGUAAAGUGCGGGUUGUAAUCAUUUUUAAUGAUAUGUCUAUAUCAAGUGUUGAAGAGAGAUGGGUCCUCGUAACCGAGUUUUGGCCCAAAAUAGUACAUUUAAAAAAAAAAAUUCAAAAGUUAAACUUGUUUCCUACAUAAUCUAGUGGAUUUGUGCCAUAUAAAUUAUUAUGUCAUAAAAUCAUAGUUAGUGACUACAGUUUUAUUUGUCUAAAAUAGUUAAAAACUUAGUCAUCGACAUCGACUACGACUUUAAAUUUAAAGUUAAAACCGUAAUAGGUAAUUAUAAUUUUUAAUUAUUUUAGAAAAAUAAAACUGUAAUCACCAAUUAUGGUUUUGUGAUAUGAUAGCUUAUGUGACUCAGACACAUUAGAUUGGAUAUUAUUUUAUAAAUAAGUUUAAUUUUUGAAUUUUUUUUUAAAUGUACUAUUUUGGGUCAAAGCUCCUCAUAAUCAGCUCUCUCUGUGUUGUUGGGUCGGUUAUAAAGUUUCCAACAUUGACUUGCAUAGAAGAAGAAGAAUCCAAAGAUGGUUUCAAAACAAGAUCAAAAUCAAAUCCCAACCGAUCUCUCUCUUACUCUGAGAGAAGUCAAAAAAACUUCCCACCACACGGAUUUUAGUUUUUUUUUUAUAAAUUUUUUUUUUUAAUCUUUGAUUGGUUUUCAACUUGAAUUACUUUUGUGAAAGGGUAAAGUAAAGGAAAAGAAGGGUUCCCUAAUAUUCACGCCAAGACCCCACUCCUAUAUUCAAACAGAUUCUAUAAAAAAUGGGGGCCAUGUCUGGAAUUGUGAUUGAAUAGAGUAGAGAAAUAGAAUCAAGAUGACCAACAAAAGGGGAAGGGUAGGGCAUGAGAGCACCUUAAAAGCAACGCUGAUUAGAAGAGUAUCAACCGAUUACCUCAUUGUUCCCUCCCCCUCUUCCUCCUUUCUUUUACCUCUAUCUUGUCAGUCAUUCCCUCUUCCUAACGGCUCCACCACGCUUUUCUUUUUGACCAUUUCCAUUUUUCUUCAUUUCUUUAGUCUUCUCCUACACCUAACCCCUCCUACUCUUCAUGCAUUUCCCACUCCAUCACAUUACUUGUCGUCCCACAUCCAUUGUCCACUCAUGGGACAUCCUAGUCCUAGACUGGUUUCAGCAUGUACGUUAAAGGUGGAGGCUGGAAAUUCAAUCAUUUUUCUGACCAUGUUGGAAAAACAACACCUACAAUAUUCAAUAUUCCAAAAGUUCAUAAAAGAAAAGAAGAAACAGAGAAUUACAAUAACAUAACAUAUGGCUUGUGCUAUUUUUUCUGUAAUUUUUCCAAUUAAACAUAAAUAUUUUUAUUUAUUUAUAUUAAAAAUAAACAAUUAUAACACAGAUUUUGAAAGCCCGGUGCACACAAAUUAACCACCCCCAAAUGCUGGAACCCUCCUGGUCGCUACACAGCUAAGCCAAGGCAACAUCCAUGUUCAUAUCAUGUCGCACAAUUGAGAACAAGAACACCCCCGAAUGCAUGCAUACAUGAAUAAACCUUGCUGAUAUCAUAAAUGAGUAGUCAAGAGACUCAGGACUGAAGAAUGCAUGCAUGAACGAAAAAAGAAGUUGGCAUGUUGGUCAGCAGUGAAUAACCUAAAUUUGUUUGAUGAAGUCUAAAAUGGAAGGACAUAUGGGCUCCAUGACAAGUAGCAUACAUGCACAUAGGGCAUGAGCAUGGCUCAUACACGUAUGUGAAUUAUGGUGGCAUGCAUAAGUAGCCAGGGGAAGAAAUAACACAAACCCAUCUUUAUCUUUCUAACAGUAACAGUAACAGUAUGAUUCUCCUUUCCCUUUUUCUCUUUUACUCAUCAUCAUCAGGAACUCCUCAAUAAAUACUUCCAGCCUCAUCCACUGCCCCCUCUUCUACGUUCACUAAACACACCCCCCCUUCUUCCAACCCUCUUUCUCCUCAUUGGACCUCUCUUAAAUUGUAAGUCCGCGAUGUCGAAAAGAGCAAGUAAGCGAGUGAGUUUCAGUCCUGAUGUCAACGAUAAGCCAACAAUGCUUCUAAAACACGGUGGUUGUAGCAGAGCUUCCGGGCACAGGAGGAGGGUUGCUGUAAUUUGGAGUUUCAGGCUUCCCAGAAGUUCAAGUUUCUCGCCGGCGAGGUUUCUGAGGCGGCUUGGGGACAGGGUGGUUAGAGCUUUGCGUUUCAUGUCCAUGAGAAGGAGGUCUUCACGUAGAGUUUCUUCGUCGAGUUUGACAAGGUCAAGAUCACUGGUAGAUCCAAUUGACUCUCACCGAGCUGAAGCCAUAGAGGACUGCAUCGAGUUUUUAAAUUCUUCCGCCUGUUUUCAGCGGUCCAAUUCAGUUUCUGGGAGUUCUUGCUAGCAAUUUGGGCCAGUCAUGGAAGAGAUGUAAAUGGGAGCAACAAGGAAUUUAUGAUUCAUUCAUCAUAAGGAGUUUAAUAAUUUCUUAAAGAUCAUUCACAGCGCAAUUCGCAUGCAUUGUUUGGUGUGGUAGAUUACCAACAGUAGCAACCUAGUUUUAUGGAUCAUGCAUCCAUCGGAAGUCCUGUCCAUCCAGGUCAACGGCAAGUUCCCUCCUCCUGUUUUCUGUUCUUUGUUUUCCAAAUGCAUUAAUUAAAAGCGCAAAAGUCAAUAAUGAUGAAUCACAAGAACUAACUGUAUGAUGGUUCAUUAACUACAGUCUACAACACUACAGCUAGUCCUACAUAUAUAUGAUAUCCCUGCGAUCCAUCAUACACGUAAUUGAGAUAGACCCUUCUAAAGUGUGGGCCAGCCUCAGAGUGUGAAGCCUAUGUCAAUGUGUCACUGCCACGCCAUUGUAGCAUGCAGGAUCCGAUAGGUAUCAGCUUUAUUUAUAUGCUUGACUCAAUCCCACCAGUGUGUGAAAAUCAAGAGGACACCACCAUCUUAACGCAGCCAUGAAUGCUCAUUCUUGUAAAUACCAUAAUUGCUUCCCCUGGCGCUUCAGUUGACUGAAAGAAUAACCUUUUUCCUUUUCUUUUGGUAUCGAAUGCUGUAAAGUGUAAACCCAUCUACUAUAAUGGAAUCACUGCAAGAGGAAAAAACAGCACAAGUGGGGUACGGGGAAAACGUAGCAAUAAGGCCACAUGUAAAGUUAUAUUGCUAGUUUAUGAAAGAGAGUGGGAACCAUGUCACUCCCCAUUGGAAUUUAGUAUAUCACAUUACUCGAGAAACAAAAACACCCAUCAAGCCAAAGAUCAUCUGAGACAGUUGAGAAUCCGUGACCCAAUAGCUGCCAACAAUUCAUUAAAUAAAAGUCUUGAAUGAAUUGUUCUGUGUCAAUUGCAAUCAUUAUCUAUCAUUUCAACUCAGUUACCAACUUCACCACAUUCCAAUACUUUUAUGAAUGGAUGACUAUGUGGAAGUAAUAAAUAUAAAAUCAAGAAUCCAGGGAGAGCCUUUCUAGCUCUCGAAUUCCAUGACUGGAAGCUUUCUUUAGUUCUAGAGCUCUCUUAUAAGGAGGAGCAAUUGGGGGCUGUACAGGAUCCAAGCUCUGGUAAGUUCCUUCAGCAACUUUGGGAAGAGGAUAUGACUGGUCUGAGUCAUACCCACUGAGGUCUCCACAAGCCAAAAAUGGAAUGUACACCUUAUUUGGCCCUUCCAACCACCCGCUUCUGCAAUCUGUCAUGCAACAAAUAUUAGGAGGGAAAAACAUCACUAUCAUCUAUUAAGCAAGAAUCUCCUAAGAACAGGCCCAAUCAAAGAUGUAAAACUUGGCCUGGACUAAGAAGUACUUGUUUUGCUUGAACAAACAUUGACAUGAACCACUUCCUAACUAAUGUCUGAUAUGUUCAUCCAUAAACAAUAUAAAAAUAUUGAGACCAAGAACUUUGAUGUGAUGGAAACUAUGGGAGAUUUGAGAUGAGAUUGUCCUGAAAAGGGAGAACCAGAGACAGAAGGUUUUUAGAUCUCUUUUCACAUUUUGUUUGGUUGUAAGUUGUACAAGAUUAGAGAUUUGAUCAUUAGUUAAGACACACAAACAAGGAUGACAAACCAGCCUAUCAGAGUCUAUGUCAAAAAAAAAGAUUUGCUUUGAACAUCAAUGCAAUUCACAACUUUCUAAUAAAAAAUUAUAUGCAAGAACCUAAAUUCAUAAUAUGAGGAAAAUACUAAACUUACCUAGAUCAUCUGCUCCUGAUGGACUUCCCACCUUUUCUAGAAGGCGAUGCAAAUCUUUCUCAUUAAAUCCUUCAGGAGGAGAAUAAUUUUCACAAACUGCAAAUGCCUCUACAUCAUAAAAAAAAUACAAGAAUUAGCUUUGACCAGGGUCACAGGGCAGGCAAAUUGUCAGUCAAUUGUCAAUAAAAUCAGACUAUGUCUUCUCUGAGAGAUCCCAAAUAGGCACUUUCACCAGAGUUGUAUAGCAGGAAAUUAUAAAGCACCAUUCUUCUGUGUGCACAUACGACAAGACUCCUUGCAAUGGAUCCUGUAUUACAUAACAGAUCCUUCUUAUGCAAUGAAUGCCUUUAUGAUAACAAGAAUACCACUUUUGUGAGAGAUCCAGAUUUCCUUAAGAAUUUUGUUUUUUACUUUCAUUUUAAUUUUAAUUGAUUUUAUUCAUUUAUUUAUUCUGUUUGCAGUAACUCAAUUUUGAAGGAGCCAUUGGCUCUCGUGGAAUCUCCAGAAGUCUCCCAAUAUAUUCUUUAAUUCUUUGUUUUUUUAUAGGCUAUGUGCUUUAAUUCUUUGUUGACUUGGAAGUUGAACUCAUAAGUAGAGAUGGCUAAUCAGGGGACAUGGGAGACUUCGAAAAUACAAUUAUAAAUAACAUGAGAAGAACUAAUAAGCAAUUCAGCUACUAAAAGAAAGGAGCUCACUCUUACCUAUGCUGGAAUUACGGCUGCUUUUCGGUUUUGCAAAAGUUACUAUAGGGAAGAAUAAUUUCAGCUGCAAUUGGUGAGCAAAAGUCAGGGAAAUUGCAUAAGUAUUUUCCGGAUUGCAGUUCUCAUUAAGAACUAGUAUUCAUGAAUAGAUAAACCUUAAAGCUAAAACAUAAGUAACUUUAGUUGCUCACGCCCCAUGAAGCAAUUAUUAUCAAAACCAUAGGGUUUCUGAAUUUAGUGUGUCAAAAAUGUAACAAUAACAUGAGACAAACAGGAUUUGUGAAAGGAUGAUCAGCUGCUAUAUUUGGAAAAACAUUAAUUAGGCACCACUACAGACACUAUGAUUAUGGAAGUGGGAAGAAAUAAAAAAACUCAGGGGAAAUAUAAAUAUAGUUCCCAACUCUCAUGUAAUAAUGCAAAAGAUAAAUAUCAUCCUGAUAAUCAAGCUGACUGGUUACCAAAGAUGUGCCCUUGAUGGCUGCCGGAACUGCUAGACAAGUUUAAAGUUCUUUUUUAUCAACUCAGAAAUUCAUAAAUAAUUUAUCCAUUAAGGAAUUUUGUUAGACCUAGAAUCAAUGCCCAAACAGAAGGCUAAACUGAAACAAGGGACAAAUAAGAAUGUGAAUGUAUUCCAAAUAAAAUGUUGCACAUGAAUGUCAAGCGAGGUUUUCAUAUUAAAACCACUUGACAAAUCAAAUGAGAUUAAUUAAUUCCAAAAAUUGGGAAUUGAGCAAGUAUUUCAUUACCUGGCAAUAAAGGAGACUAGUAUCUUUUCCCCGAAAUAUCUUUGCAAUAAAUUUUCCACCUUUUUUAAGCACAUGAGUAACAAUUGUUAAACCCUACAAAAUAAGUUGGUCCAAUAAUAUCAGUGUAAUACAAACAUAAACAACAUUCACAAACAAAUCGGUUACCAGGCAACAUUUAUACAUUGCUCUCAAAACAAAAGUAAGAAGGUGAUCAAUGGACUCCAUAAACUGUAUGCAAUAAUCAUCUUAAAAAACAAAGAACACACUUGAUUUACGAUUCAGAUUUUUAUAGAAACAAAAAAAGUAAGAAAUGAUAGUUUAGAUGAAAGAAUUACCUACAAGGAAUUAAGGGCAAAAAUGAAAGUGCUUUGAAUUACUGUUGCAAAAUCUUCUGACCAGACCAGUUACUAAGGCAUCUCACAAUUCAAAGAUCAGUCAGGUCAAUAGAGGAAUAUAUUCCAUUUUGAGAUUUUGGGAAGAGGGGUUGUUGUUGAGAGAUUUAUUUCUGGUCUUUCCUUGUUUCCACAUGACCAAUUUAUGGGAGCCAAGGGAAAGGUUACACUAUUGCUUUUGCCCUAAGACAUAAACUAAAGCUACAAAGAUCUCUUUUCUUAACUGCUAUCUAUGUUCGUACAUAAAUAAUUCAUAUUGCCUGGAAAACAACACAAAUAUGCGACCAAGUAAUCACUAUUUUAUGAAAUGGAAGGAUACAUACUGUAGGUGCUAUAGAAUAGACAGUCCAUGUAUGGCUACCAAAGGAUGCCUUUGUUUUUUGUCUUGAAUCUAAAUAAAUCUUUAAUUAAAGUGUAACUAGUACUUAAUAGUGUUAAGUAUUAAGUUGUUUGUUUGUUUUUUUAAUUUUUUUUAAGGUCUUAAAACAAGUUGCUUGAAGACUUAAUCAUUUUUAAAAUGGUUUGUUUUUUAACUUAUUACUUUUUUUUAACACAAUUUUGUCUUAAUGGAAAAGUAAUUUUUUUUUACUUUUACCAUAAAUCUUAGAGCAACUUGCUUAAGACUUAAAAAACAAACAACCCCAAAGUGUCCAGCAAAAUAUAUAUGCCUUUAAGAAUAAAACAAACCACAACAUGACACACUGCCUAGACCUCAUAAACUAGAUCUUAGAUAUUGUGAUUUUCACGUUUUCUCUUUUAAUAUUAAUUUAGGAUUCUUAGGUGAGCAUGACUGAAUAGUGAAGCAUGGCACUGCAUCUGUAUCCAUCCAAGGUAAUUGCCAUCCAAACUCAUUAUAGUGACUUGCCCUUAUAAGAAACAUUGAUUAGUUUACAAGGAACCUAAACAGCUCACCGCAAGAAUAAGUUGGGACUGGACAAAUUCAUCCAUAUCAUGAAGCCCGGUAACUGCAAAUCAUCACAGAAACUGAUCAACUUAAGAAAAACAAACCACUGCUGGUAGAAACAGAAGCAUAAACCAUGAAGUUGAAAACAAUAUAUGUUGCCUAACCAUCAGGAGCACCAUCACACACAACCAGGUCAGCCUUGCAUCCAUCAAAAUGCCUAAUGACCUGAAGAACAGAAGAUGAUAAAUAAGGAUAAUGUCAGAUAUAUCAUUUUUACACAGCCAAAAACUGAGAGCAAAAAUGAUUUAAAAUAGCACACAAAUACAAUGUGUCAGCCUGGGAAGUGGCAUGUCUAUGACUCUAUAAUUAUGUGUGCUUGUGCACAAGGAUGCAUGUUAAUAUGUAAGAAUGUAUGGAAGUGCGUGUACAUAUUGAGGCCUCAACUUUCUCAUGAAAAUAAAGACACAAGCAUAACAUGAAAGUCAACAUUGACAACCACUGAUUCAAGAUAUUUGGCCAACAUCAACCCGUAAAAGUGGUAUUGAAGUUGAAUAUUUUGGCAUGUGGUUGUGAUCAAUUAACCGGACUAAUGGUACCAGUGGUAUAGGCUCAAGUCCCAAACUGGCACCCAAGAAAAACCAAAAGAACAUAAAAGCUGUGGGAAGGCACUGAUGCUCAGAACCCUUGCCCAGCUAAUUGAGGUUAGCAACAUGAAAAUAUUGUUCCCUUUUUUUAUUUUUUUUGUUGUCAUUCUACUCUAUCUAUGACUGUAUAUUCUGCUAACCAGCACCCAUGUCUCUUUCAAAAGCAUAGCCCAUGUACCUUGUGGAAUUUCCAUAGUUGUACUGGUGAACCAUAUCACUCGUUCUAAAAGGUGGUGUUGUAUGUCUACCUUGCAGGAAAAGGACUGUCAUGACUCAAAUGGCCAUAAAACUAAUCCAUUCAAAAUUAAAUUCACUCAUCUGGAAACCAAUAACCUUGCAUUUCAUCAUUGAUAUCUACCUACUCUACACCCCACCAACCCCCCCUCCCCUCUCCCCCCCAACAUAAAUUUCUCUUGGGAAAAUCUUCAAGGGAAACAGAAAGAGCAAUGCUUUUUUUUUUAUAGGUAAAUAAGAGAAUAUAUUAAAAGCACAAAAGGCGCAUCAAAGGGCCCAAAGGCUUACAAGAAGAGAAAGAGAAAAGUGAGGAACAAGCCCACCCUAACAACCCAGAAAACCAAAACUAUGUGCAGCUGCCUCACCAGCCCCCGCUGCCUGCCCUCAACACCCCAAAACAACCCUUUCUAGAUGUGAAAAGCCAACAGCGCCAACAUCUAAAACCCAGCAAAAACCUCACGCAACAAGGUCUGUGACCUCGCUACUCCUCCCCCUACCCCUAACUAACAGAAGGGAGUUUUAGUAAUCAACCGAACACUCCAAUUUUCGGAUCUCCCUCUCGAAACAGGAAGUCAAGUUUGGCUUCCUUUCCCCCCUUCAGACACAGACACAAUGCCCCUUCCUAGUCUCCAUCUUCCUCAAGAGGGUAAAAAUCUCCUUUUCAUAUCCCUCAACUGGCAUCCUCAAAAGAGCAAUGUCUAUGCACACUUAAGAGAAAGAGAAACUGUUUUCUAAUUCUAUUCUAUGAAGACACUGAGAUAAUGAUAUUAAAUCAGUUACAUAAUUUUAAAGAAGCGCCAUUUAUAUCUUUACACUGUCAAACAAAUAAUGGAUAACAAUGACUUGGGGGGAGAAAUUGACUAACCAGUUCAGCUGUACGAGCAUUUGUUAUAUCACCCUGGACUUGAAUCACCCCUUCAAUUGGAGCCAUGGGCUGCAAAUCAAUCGCCACAAUAAGAGGAAGAUCACCAUCCCUGAAAAUUUUGAUUAAGUAAAAAGUUAUUAGCUUGACAAUAAGGUCCUACACAAAAAGAGGGUGACAUAAUAGUAACAAUUAGAAGCCCUUGAGGCCCGGCUCAAGUGGUAAAGGGAUGAGGAGGGUUUGUGGGAGGUUCCAGGUUCAAGUCCCAAUAGAGACAAAAAAUUUACCUAUCAAAAAAUAAUAGUAACAAUUAGAAAUUUAGCUUUUUUUAAUAAUAAGAAAUAUGUAAACCGUGCACACAGGCCUAAAAACUGUAGGGUGAAUCAGUAAAGUUGAAGAAAAUAAAGGGAAUUACAAAGUCGAAUCUUAUAAACAACAUAAUUGGAAUAGCAUCUCUCAUAUUUCCAUUUGGAGUACACAAGUUGUGGGGCACAAAUGUCAAGUACCCAAAUACAAAGUGAUGGAAGAUCAAAGCCUUUAUAGCAUGCAUAUAUAAGCACGUGUAUAUAUGCAUAAAUAUGGGAGUAAGGAGAUAUAGAAUAUUUAACAUUGGAGACAGCAAAUAGAAGGGAUGGUACUUUCCUCUCACAUCAAAAUGUGAAAGAAAUAUAACAAUUAUAAUAGCUCCUAUUUCAUUAACUUUUUUCAAUUGAACCAUUUAUACAAAUUCAAAACCCAAAUAAACAGAAUUUACCUUGAGGCAGGUGAAAGCUUUGCUGGGAGAAACAACUUACGACUCAAAACCUACAGAAACAAUGUGAAGGAUCAGAGACAGUUAAGGAUAAUCUGUAAAUCACAACCCAAACAACAUUGGCACAAGGAAAUUAUAUUUUUCACUUCAAGCAUUGGUGCAUGAUUUAUCAAAUGCCCUUCCUUCAACAUGAUACAAUAUCAGGGGAAAUCUUUUCAAAUUCAAAUGACAUGAUGAAGAUUGUUAACAGAAAGAAUAUCCAGAAUCUCUAUUCUAAUGAGAUUGGAGUUGGCUCACAGCACACCUCCCACAUUUUUAGUCCAAGACCACAGGAAGUGAAGGGAAGAUGGUAAAAAAGGUACCUAAAAAACAAAUAACCUACAUUUGGUAAAGGAUAUCAUUUUCUCCUUCCAUUUCAAAGCAAAAUGAACACUAUUACCAUAUUUGCUUCAAAAGUUCCAUUCCCACCUUAAUCUGUAUCAGUUUUAAGUGCAAAAUGUUUUUAAGAAAAGCAUUUUCCAAACAAUACCCUGUGGAGGUUUAAUUAUUCAGAUCCAUAAUCAGUGUGAAUGCUGAAAUUUAACUGCUCAAAUGCAUGUGUUUUAAGAGAACUCAGGCCUAGAGAGUUGGGUGUAACAAUGAAAGAAUAUCAUACAAAGGAACGAGUUUCAUCAACAUAACACACAAUCUUUAUAACUGCUUCCCUAUUGAUUCUGUUGGAAAUAACAGUUUACAAGGCAUUUCACAAUUGCAGAUACCUGACUCCAGCUACCAGGGGCUGCACAUAGAUCUACCACACGCUUGACCCCUGAAAAUCAAAUUGGUAUCAAACAGCUAAAGGUGAAAAAAUAAUCUCAAAUCAUAGAUAAAUAGAAAAACGCAUCCAAAAAAGACUCAAAAAUGUUUGACCAGAGUUCAUCCUAUGCAAAACCAUAGCAAAACAGUCUAUUGGGCCGUAGAAUUAGUAGCUUCUAGAGUAUUGAAAUAACAAAACAAAUAAUCCACACGCCUAGCACUAUUUCAUUUAUGCAAUCACCACUCCCUGCGGAUAUUGUGAUUUUUCCCUAAUUAACAAAAAACAAAACAUUUGUGAUAUAAGAAAAGGACAGCAUCUAUCAUUUGAUUGUAUUCUUAAACCUUUUGCAUUUCCAAAUUUUGUUCAUCAGCCACUUAGAGAUUGACAUCCUCAUGCAAUAUAAAUAAAAACAUAAAAAAAUAAAUAUAGAAAAAGUUAACAAUCCAUGACUAAAGCAUUUUGAAAAAGAAGUCUUGGACCAUCAGUAAAACCACAGACCCAAUUUAACUGGAACCAGCAAGCUGGUUAUUCAUAAACUAUAUACCAUGAGUUCUUUCAGGAUUUUCAGUUCCCACUCUUCUUUAUCAUCUCCCACAUGACUCCACUCUCAUCUUUGUCUCUUUUCUUCUUGUUCUCCUCAUUGAAAAUUGCAUCUUAACACAUAACAUUAACUAGCUAUUGAGUUACACACUUGAAUUUUUUAUUUUUAUUUUUAUUUUUUCAGUUAAUUGACCUAAUAUUUCAUUUUCUCUAAUUAUUAUAAAUAAUGAUUACCAUAUUGAUGAUGAUGAUGUGAUGAAAAAUCAGCAGUAGAAAAUAGUGACCUUUAAUCUAGUCCCUUUCAUGGGUUAAUAAGCAGUCCAGCUUCUAAAACAUUGGCAAAAAAAAAAAAAAUCGACUUUAGGAACCAAAUUAAAAAGGUAAAAUAAACACACACAACAAAGGACCAAAAUAGGUUGUACCUUCAAAUAUGUUGAAUUCCUCAUCAAUCUGAAGGAGUUUGAAGGCACUUCGAGCACGCCAACCUUCUUCCUUUGCUUUACGAUAGUAGAUAUCCUGCAAACUAAUCAACCUUUACUAAAAACUGAAAAAUGAAAACACACCGGAAAUUGAACAGAAGAAAUUAGAAUGAGAAAUUAAACCCACCCUCUUAUCCCUUGAAGCUUUGCCCAUGCUUUAAAUACCUCGCAGUUCUGUAGGUAGUGAAACAGGAAGUAUUUACUCUUGCUAAUCCUUGUAUUCAUAGAAAGUUAUAGUUUAGUCAUAACAUAUGCUUUGGAAAACAAAAGAAAUAGAAAUAAAAUGCUAUUACCACAAUAUUAACAAGGAAUACUAUCACUGACAAUGAGCUUGGAGCAGCAUGUUUUUUGCUUGAUGAGGUAUGGCCAAAGUCCAAAGAAAACAGUUCUAAGUUAAUGACAAAAACAACCGUAUAAAAAUGAAGGUUUAAAAGUAAUCUCUCUCCAUUUUAAUGUAUAGGCAUGGAAAGGGCUCAGGCAUUCAGCAUGGCAGAUUGACUCCCUUAAUUUGAAAACUAAUAUAUCCACUGCAUUGGAGAAUAAAUCAAGAAAUUGAUAUAGCAUUAAAAGAACCUAACUUUCUAUGGCCAAUUUUCUGCACAUCUCCAAAUUCUCUUAUAAAUCUUAUUGAUAUGAUUAUUCCUCACUGUUCUGCACUACCAAAAGAUUUUUUCUUUUUCUCUUUUUUCUCUUUUUAAGUCCACAGUUACAGUAAAAUUUCAUUGGCAUUGGAAUUAGCAUUAGUGCAUGUCUCCGUUCCAAUGAACAAGUCCUAUGAUGGCAUAACAGAAAAAUCUCUUACUCUUAUCGGUCACUCUUUUGAACAUCUUAUAUGCAUUUUAAAUACAGAAGAAUGGUAACAAAAAAAAAAACGAUUAUUCAUCUUAGAAAUUAUAGACGAAGUAGAGAGAUGUAAUAUCAUGCCAUGAGAUUCACCAGAGCAUAGGCAGUGAAUAGAGAGGUUACUGUAGCAUAAAACAAAUGAAAAAAAGGAAGGAAUCAGGAUUUAUUUUCAUCAAGUGGGAAACUUUACCAACCUUUGGUACAAUACAAAUCAGAAGUGCAGGGAGAGGAGGAUGAGUGCUGAAUUUCCUGGGAAUGGGCUCCUGUGUACCUCCCCUCGUGUGAUGGGAGUAAUAGCUCGCAGCACGUUUGUUACUAGUGCUUCUAUCAAAAAAGCUUUUGUAAAAACACAGUUAGUGUUUGAAUAUAGACCCAAAAAAAAAUGCUUUUGAUAGUGUUUUUAGCAAUGUGUUAUGAGCACACACAUAUGCACAGACUUGCAUCCAUAUUAUUAAAAACAGUAAAGACAAUAAUUAUUUAUUAUGACACGAAAUUUUGAAAAAUACUAUCUAUUUACAUAUUAGCUUAAAUUGUCUAAUAAAAAAUUUACACUCGCCAGCAUUAUUUCCAAUAGGCUCAUUAAUACAUGUAUUUCCAUCCAAUACCACCAAACUAUAGAAAUCAUGCUCAUAGUCAGUCUCAUCUUCAGAAUUGCAAUUUUCACUAUCAUUGCUAUUAGAAGACAUAUUGACAAAACCAACAAAUAAAAUAAUGCAUGAUAAUGAGUGAUUACUAGACAUUUUCUGGACCCCUCAAAAAGCAAGAAUGAAUAAAUAAUCAGAUCCUCUGUCAAAAAAAAGAAGCAAAACCAUUAAGUUUGAAAAUCAGCAAAUAUGGAAAGCACUGAUGAGUAAGGAAUAUAAAUGGCACUUAUGAACAUUUCUAAGAACUAAGAAUAUCUGAACCAAAGUUGGAACCAAAAUACAGUGCACAACCACCUGAAAAAAAUGCUAAAAACACCAACAUACCAAACUGUCAAUGUACCAAAGUGCUGAAGUACACUUUCAGUGGGCAUGUUCAGUGAUUCCCAGCAUGGGUCAAUUGUGAAAUCCACUAGUGCUUUUUAAUGUAUGCAAAAAUGCGUCAAAUAAGUUCAGCAAAUUGUCCAAGUCAGAGCACCCAAUUUGCAACAGCAAAAGGUUUCAAGCUGGGUGCCUUCAUACAUUGCAUAUUUGAUAAAAAUAAUGCUGCAAAAUUGCAAGCCAAAAUGCAGUCAACAAUGGGACAAAAACUCUGCCACAAAAUGCAGCUAUACUACAUAGCAAAAUAGAAUUUUGAAGCUUCAAGAGAAUCUUAUCACACUUGGGACAGCAGGUACUAUGACCAAAAUUGAUGCAAUUCUAUUCCUAUUUGUGCAAUCCUCAAUUUCAGACUCAUUCCCUCAACCAAGCUGUGCAUAUAUGCAACAACUGGCUCUUAGAGGCAACUUCUCAAACAGGUAAUAUGCCCAUUUUUUGUAUAGCAAUCCUACACUUCAAGGUGCCGCCAUUUCCACCCAUAAGUACAAGCAAGCUCUCACAAUAUUAAAACCUUGUCAGAGGGCUUACCAACUAGUACCCAUUACCUCAACCAAGUCAUGCAUAUAGGCAACAACUGGCUCUUAGAGGCAACUUCUCAAACAGGCACUGUGCCCAUUUUUGGAUCAGGGUCCCAUCAUUCCCACCCA